AUUGAACGCUGGCGGCAGGCCUAACACAUGCAAGUCGAGCGGAGCGGCGGACGGGUGAGUAAGGCCUAUGAAUCUGCCUGGUAGUGGGGGAUAACGUCAGGAAACGGGCGCAAAUACCGAUUACUCUCAGAUGAGCCUAGGUCGGAUUAGCUAGUUGGUGGGGUAAAGGCCUACCAAGGCGACGAUCCGUAACUGGUCUGAGAGGAUGAUCAGUCACACUGGAACUGAGACACGGUCCAGACUCCUACGGGAGGCAGCAGUGGGGAAUAUUGGACAAUGGGCGAAAGCCUGAUCCAGCCAUGCCGCGUGUGUGAAGAAGGUCUUCGGGUUGUAAAGCACUUUAAGUUGGGAGGCGUUACCAGCAGAAUAAGCACCGGCUAACUUCGUGCCAGCAGCCGCGGUAAUAC
rnacentral:rRNA from 1 species